rnacentral:rRNA from 1 species
GACGAACGCUGGCGGCGUGCUUAACACAUGCAAGUCGAACGGAAAGGCCCUGCUUUUGUGGGGUGCUCGAGUGGCGAACGGGUGAGUAACACGUGAGUAACCUGCCCUUGACUUUGGGAUAACUUCAGGAAACUGGGGCUAAUACCGGAUAGGAGCUCCUGCUGCAUGGUGGGGGUUGGAAAGUUUCGGCGGUUGGGGAUGGACUCGCGGCUUAUCAGCUUGUUGGUGGGGUAGUGGCUUACCAAGGCUUUGACGGGUAGCCGGCCUGAGCGGGUGACCGGCCACAUUGGGACUGAGAUACGGCCCAGACUCCAACGGGAGGCAGCAGUGGGGAAUAUUGCACAAUGGGCGGAAGCCUGAUGCAGCAACGCCGCGUGCGGGAUGACGGCCUUCGGGUUGUAAACCGCUUUCGCCUGUGACGAAGCGUGAGUGACGGUAAUGGGUAAAGAAGCACCGGCUAACUACGUG